rnacentral:snRNA from 1 species
GUGCUCGCUUCGGCAGCACAUAUGCUAAAAUUGGAAUGCUACAGAGAAGAUUAGCGCGGCCCCUGUAAUAAAAAUAAAAUUUAAAUAAAUAAAACACAUUGGG